rnacentral:rRNA from 1 species
GACGUAGGGCGCGAGCGUUGUCCGGAUUUAUUGGGCGUAAAGAGCUCGUAGGCGGCUUGUCGCGUCGUUCGUGAAAACCUGCGGCUCAACUGCAGGCUUGCGGUCGAUACGGGCAGGCUGGAGUUCGGUAGGGGAGACUGGAAUUCCUGGUGUAGCGGUGAAAUGCGCAGAUAUCAGGAGGAACACCGGUGGCGAAGGCGGGGUCCU